AAGGUUGAGCCGACUAAUAUGAGAACAGAGCGUCUGCCCUGGUGAGCAGAUAUGCUAAGGCCUGCCCAUGUGUGUAGGUAAGCCAAUAAGUAAGAGAUAUAAAGCAUCUGCCCUGGUGAGCAUGUUAUGCAUAAAUGAUAAUUUCUAAACUGGCUAGAAUCCUUUGUUUAUGUCUCUAUAUACAGUUUCGUUAUAACUGCUAAAGUUUCAACUAAUACUCUUAGGUCCAAGUAGCCAAAUGUGAUCACAUUCCCUAAACUAUAUAUUAUAUUUACUAUCUUAUAUUAAACUUAUUAUAUAAUGUUAUAUAUCUAGGUAUAAUCAUAUAUAUCUCAAUGUGUCAUGACAUAAUGGUAGUCCUUAUAAUUAUGUAUUAUAAUUGUAGUAUGAUAUUAAAUAUGUUGACAACAUUGAUGGGCUUUGAAAGGCUUGAAGCCUUUUUUGUGCCCGAGUCACCGAGAGUGUCGGUGUCAUCGGGCAUUCUAUUUAACCCUACAGGAGGUGAAUCGGUGGACGUGUCUCCGACCAAGUAUCAAUGUGAAGCAGAUAUAGUCUCAGAAUACUAAUCUCAGUGGGAAACUAUAGGUCAGUUAUAAUUUGAUAUAUUUUUUAAUUCGAUCAAUAUCGCUAUGUUCUGGCGUAGCGACAUGGUGGAGAUGCUGGGAUCUGACAAUCCAUAAUUUUGCAAUUGAGAUAAUAUUUAAUAGUAUGUAACACCUAUUUCAUAUUCAACAUGGGCGGAGACACGUACAAUACCGUUACAUAGUAAAGCCAACAGAUGGCGUUAACAGUACUGUUUUAAACGUAAUCAAGUAAGAUCAUUUAUUUUACAUUUACAAUCACAACAUGAAAUAGUAAAGAGUAUGCUGCGUUUUAAUUUACUCAAUAAUAAAAAACAAUACAUUUACUAUAAUUUCAAAAGAAUCUUGAAGAGGGUUAUUUAAAAUAAGAAUGUGGGGAUAUGCGGAAGUAUCUAAGAGAUCACGUGACCGAUAUGGCGGAAAUAGACGAAAUAGUUCCACUAUUUGAUACUCAUUUGUUUUUUCAUUGCUCUAAAUUAAGAGAUUAUCUCUAUCGUAAUUUAAUUAUAACUUUAAAAUUUAAAUGUCGUUUUUUAUGCUUAAUAAUGAUGUUUAUUUUCUGACGAAUAUUUUUUCUCAAUCACUCGUAAAUAUAUUUAAGAAGCGAUUCGUGGGGGUCGUCCAUUUUGGUUUUAUUUCUUUGUAAACUUGAAUCGAAGUGUUUGAAAAUUUCGCAAAGUCUGUGCAAAACUCAAAGUAACGGGUUAAUUUGUACUAUUUACCACAUCUAAGAACCAGUGUUACAGAAUUAUAUGAGUUAAGUUGGAAUCUAAUGAGGUAAGCGGGUGGAAAAUGGAAAUAAAAUUUAAUAUUGCGUGUAGAUGAUAAAAUAACAGAAUGAUUUGUUUCUUAGGUGAAUAGAUUCUGCAUUUAGUAAGUGAGACCAGAGUAGUUUCCUUCCAGUUGUGCAGCAACGACUUCACUUACAGAUUUAAACAAAACACCAUGGAGGAGGUGAUGUUAAGAAGGCUAAAAAUAAUAUGUGGCGAAAUAGAGAAAAUAAAUAAGCAAGCCAACAACAUAUUGGUCUCAGUCUCUCUUCUGGAGUCUAUGUCAACACAAGAAGUUGAAAUCAUUGUUCAGAAAUUAGAAACCGUCAUAAAGAGAUUCUGCGAUGAAUUGAAUAAUUAUUUUAGAAUAGCUCAGGAGCCUGCGGCUGAUGAUAUUUCAAGUAUGAGCAUUAUUCAACUUGGCGCAGAAGAAAAUUUAGCUGAGUUAAGAAUAAAAUUAAACAAUAAGAAAGCUAAUAUGUCUACAAGGGCGAAAAGCACGACGUUUGUCUCUGGGAAAUUACCAAAGUUAUGUCUAGCGGAGUUUGAUGGCAAUAUAUUAAAUUGGCAUCAAUUUUGGGACCAAUUUAACUCUAACAUACAUUCAAGAAAUCUGUCGGACGUCGAUAAGCUGUUAUAUUUAAAGGCAUCUUUGAAUGGCGAAGCGCAGAAGGCACUUGAUGGUCUGGAAACCACAAAUAAAAAUUACCAGAUAGCUGUAACGGCGUUGAAAGAAAGAUAUGGUAAACAUAACUUACUAAUAGAUUCACAUUAUGCAGCAUUAUAUAAAAUUAAAGGCGCCGAGAAUAACAAUGAAGACUGUAGGAAGGUUUUGAAUGAGGUUGAACAACACCUAAGAGUUUUAUCUUCUCUAGGAGAAAACAUUAACCACAAUCAUCUUCGCUUCAUGAUUAUGGAGAAAUUUCCGGAAAACAUUAUAUACGAGUUAAGGUCAAAAACUAAUGCUGAUUCUAUUAGCGACAUUAGAAAGGAACUGGAGAACAUAAUAUCUGCCAAGGAGGAUGCUUGUCGCAUUACUAGGGAGAGUAACAAAGAUAAACAUGUAGCAUAUACGGUUGAAACACUUCACGUAAGUAACGAACCUGUAAAUGAGAGAAGCUUACCUUUUAAAGAAGACCACGGGAAUUUCAGAUUUGAGAGAGACUCUAGAAAUCUGCAGAAGAGAAAUCGUAGUCCCGUUCAUAUUUAUGAAGAGAAAAGAACAAAAUUCAUGUGUAUAUUUUGUAACGAAAAUCACUAUAAUGAUCAAUGCACUAAAUUUAAAACAAUUGCACAACGGAAAGAGAAAUUAGGAAAUCGCUGUUAUGGGUGCCUAAGGAGUGGACAUAGCCUCAGAACAUGUAGGAGACAGCGGAAGUGUCAAUAUUGUGGACAAGUCGGCUGCCACGAUAGAGCCUUGUGUCCCAAAAGAGACUACUGAUUUCGGGUUUCAUGACCUUGAAAACAAUAUCCUAAAAUUUUAGAUUAGCAUAUACUUUACCUUGAUACCUUAAUUUUGUUAAAACAUACUGCAGAUAUUUCACCAUAGUAUUCAACCUCGUUAUUGAAAUAAAAUAAUUGAAGAAGCCUUAAAGAUGUAUAGAGAAGCAAAAACACUUUCAUGGAUAUGUUUAAAAACUUAGGAGAAUAGGAAGCAAUUUAGAAGAUUUCAGAUAGAAUAUACCUGCAACUACUUAAAGAUAAAAAUUAUAAUAUUUUAGAACUUACUUGGGCAUUAGACGAAUAUAAACUCGAACUGACACUUCAAAAUAAUAACCGGCUAGCGAACACCAAGACAGACAAAUGGUUAACAGAACUGAUAUUCUUAUUAGAUACUCCGAAUUCAACUUUUCUCUUCUAGCGCGGGACGGUCUUGCGAAGGAACCGACUCCUAAAAUCCAAAUGAAGACGAUGUCUAAAGUGAACUGGGCAUAUGAAACGCUAUCCCAUAUUUUUAUCAAUAAUCUGAUUAUGGCCAUACACGAGGAAACUGUCACGUCGAAGUCAACCACACCGUGUAUAAUACGUACAUACAUAAUCUUACGCCCACAAUCCCUGAUGGGGUGGGCAGAGAACUUGCAGUCACUGGUGAAACAAGUAUUAUUCGAGUAUUAUCCGUAUCGUUCAUGAAUAUUCGUCAAAAUUACUGGACUCCUCAAGGGAAGUGUCACGUGCAAAGGAUACUCUUUCACCAACACCGGCACUGCCACCAGAGAAAGUGUAUUAUUGAGCACCAUUUACAUUUACCGGUUUGGGCUAUGAAUUCUGCGCAAGCUAAACAUGACAUAAACGACGGAUUUGUUACCUUGCUUUGCAGUGCGAGCUAUUCAUUUAAGAUUCAUCUGCCGAAAGGGAUCAGUUUACUUUAACCUGAGGCACUCCGACUUGUGACAUCAGACUACACUGGAGGCACAUUAUAUCAUACUGAAAUAGAAAAUUUGUGUGGUUCACCAUUAUUGGAAAUUGGUACUCCAUAGUCACAUGAGGUCAUCGCUGAGCCUAGACAUUUAAGUGAUAGUUCUUUGAUAGAGACUGAGACUUUCAUCGAGGUAACUAGCCCUAGUUAAAGACAUGAUGCUGCCACUAGAGCCCUGGAAAGGAUCAUGAAGUGGAUGUGUAAUCUUUAAACCCUACUAAAUUAAUCGCCUUGCCGUUGGGUGUGUCGCGACGUUGGUCGCGAAGUGUACAUAGUGUCAAAAUUACUAAUGGCAACAUGAAGCAGAAAUAUUCCCGCCAGCGUUGUUCCCAAGAUUUGUCUAUGGAGGUGAAUCGGUGGACGUGUCUCCGACCAAGUAUCAAUGUGAAGCAGAUAUAGUCUCAGAAUACUAAUCUCAGUGGGAAACUAUAGGUCAGUUAUAAUUUGAUAUAUUUUUUAAUUCGAUCAAUAUCGCUAUGUUCUGGCGUAGCGACAACAACUACAUACAUAAGAACGUCGAUAGAAGGAGGGUUUAGCAACAUACCCAGUUAGUCAGUUACACAGUAAAUGGAAACUUUAGGCCGUACACGUCGAAAACACAGGAUUUGCCUUUUAUGAGGAUACUUAAACAUAAUAAUACAAAAUGCCAGUGUAAUUACCGUUAUCUCUCAGAGUAUUGAAAUGCAUCUCAGAAUAAUAACUCAGGAGAUGCUUUCGAAAUAAAUAUAACAUUAUUAUUUAA
rnacentral:misc_RNA from 1 species